CACGGGGGGAGCAAGCGUUGUUCGGAAUCACUGGGCGUAAAGGGCGUGUAGGCGGUUUGGUAAGUGAGAUGUGAAAUCCUCCGGCUCACCCGGAGACCUGCAUCUCAAACUGCCCGACUAGAGUAUGGGAGAGGACAAGGGAAUUCCUGGUGUAGCGGUGAAAUGCGUAGAUAUCGAGAGGAACACCAGUGGCGAAGGCGAGUCCCUGGACACUUCCUGACACUGAGGCACGAAAGCUAGGGGAGCAAACGGG
rnacentral:rRNA from 1 species